ACUUGAGUGGCGGACGGGUGAGUAACGCGUGAGAAUCUGCCUUUUGGUCGGGGACAACCAUUGGAAACGAUGGCUAAUACCCGAUGUGCCUAGGGGUGAAAAAUUUAUUGCCAAAAGAGGAGCUCGCGUCUGAUUAGCUAGUUGGUAGGGUAAAAGCCUACCAAGGCAUCGAUCAGUAGCUGGUCUGAGAGGAUGACCAGCCACACUGGGACUGAGACACGGCCCAGACUCCUACGGGAGGCAGCAGUGGGGAAUUUUCCGCAAUGGGCGAAAGCCUGACGGAGCAAGACCGCGUGAGGGAGGAAGGCUCUUGGGUCGUAAACCUCUUUUGUCAGGGAAGAACACAAUGACGGUACCUGACGAAUCAGCCUCGGCUAACUCCGUGCCAGCAGCCGCGGUAAUACGGAGGAGGCAAGCGUUA
rnacentral:rRNA from 1 species